rnacentral:rRNA from 1 species
AUGCACGCUGGCGGCGUGCCUAAUACAUGCCAGUCGCGCGAACAGACGAGGAGCUUGCUCCUCUGACGUUAGCGGCGGCCGGGUGAGUAACACGUGGAUAACCUACCUAUAAGACUGGGAUAACUUCGGGAAACCGGAGCUAAUACCGGAUAAUAUAUUGAACCGCAUGGUUCAAUAGUGAAAGACGGUUUUGCUGUCACUUAUAGAUGGAUCCGCGCCGCAUUAGCUAGUUGGUAAGGUAACGGCUUACCAAGGCAACGAUGCGUAGCCGACCUGAGAGGGUGAUCGGCCACACUGGAACUGAGACACGGUCCAGACUCCUACGGGAGGCAGCAGUAGGGAAUCUUCCGCAAUGGGCGAAAGCCUGACGGAGCAACGCCGCGUGAGUGAUGAAGGUCUUCGGAUCGUAAAACUCUGUUAUUAGGGAAGAACAAAUGUGUAAGUAACUAUGCACGUCUUGACGGUACCUAAUCAGAAAGCCACGGCUAACUACGUG